ACAUAAAUAUGCUUCAAACAAUAAUUGAACUACUAGUCGUUGUAUUAUAGUCACAUUUGGAAGGUACAAUUUUCUACAAACUUGUAGUAAGUAGAAAGGGUACGUGGUGUAGAUCCAUCAACUCCAGGCGUUUUCAGAUUCAUAUCCUUCACUCACAAUUCUUCGCACAGCAGUAAAAAAAAAAAAAAUGUAUAAAAUUACAACUUUUGCGAUUUGCUUAUUGAUUGCCUGCGUUGCGGUACUUCCGGUAAUUGAAAUUCAUAGCAGAGCUGUCGAGAAAAUAGCAAACGCAGUUUAUGAUCCCAAUGUAAAAUGGCGCUGGAGCGGAUUUGGAAACUGCAGCAAAACAGAAUUGUACUAUCCUGGCACGGAUGUUACAUGUGUAGAGAAAUUUCCAAAUGGAACAAUUGCAAAAUUUUCAAAUGGAACAAUGAUGCAUUCAAAUGGAAAAACUAUUAAAUUUACAAAAGAUGGAAAACUUAUCUUUGUAUGAAGAUGGAACAAUAACUGCCUUUCCAAAUGAGACAAUGACCGAUUUCUAACACUUCAAUGUCAUAUUCACGUGUAUUCCAAAUAUUUGUAAAGUAGAUAUUUUUACUAAUUCAGUUACAAGGUGUAGUAAAACGUGUUUUUUAAAUAUUUCAAUAA